rnacentral:lncRNA from 1 species
CCGCCCAAGGUCCAGGAUGGAGGGGUGGGGAGAGGGAGUGGAGAGUGACAUCCCAAGGUCCAGGAUGGAGGUGUGGGAGCGGGAGUGGAGAGUGACAGCCCAAGGACCAGGAUGGAGGUGUGGGGAGGGAGUGGAGAGUGACAGCUCAAGGUCCAGGAUGGAGGUGUGGGAGCGGGAGUGGAGAGUGACAGCCCAAGACCCAGGAUGGAGGUGUGGGAGAGGGGGAGGAGAGUGACAGCCCAAGGUCCAGGAUGGGGGUGUGGGAGAGGGAGUGGAGAGGGACAGCCCAAGGUCCAGGAUGGAGGGGUGGGGAGAGGGAGUGGAGAGGGACAGCCCAAGGUCCAGGAUGGAGGCGUGGGAGAGGGAGUGGAGAGGGACAGCCCAAGGUCCAGGAUGGAGGGGUGGGAGAGGGAGUGGAGAGUGACAUCCCAAGGUCCAGGAUGGAGGUGUGGGGACAGGGAGUGGAGGGUUACAGCCCAAGGUCCAGGAUGGAAGGGUGGGGAGAGGGAGUGGAGAGUGACAUCCCAAGGUCCAGGAUGGAGGUGUGUGGACAGGGAGUGGAGAGUGACAGCCCAAGGUCCUGGAUGGAGGUGUGGGAGAGGGAGUGGAGAGUGACAGCUCACAUCACAUCACGCCCACGGGCCCUGCAUGGGGAUCCUCAGCUCCUGAGGGUCAGGGGGCCCAAGGUGACCAGGCCCUUCAUACCCCCAGGGCUGCCCUGCCUCUGGCCACUGCUGAGCACUUGGCCCAUGGGGGAGCCCUCUGCUGGCCAGGGCCUCGUGGUCCCUAGGUUGGCACAGGGUCCCUCCUGGGUCCUCCUGAUCCUGGGCCCCUGGGGUGAGGGGGGAAGGCCAGGGAGGGGUCCCAGCCUCCCCACAGCCCACACCACAGCCCGUCGCCCCUCCCCUGCGGGGUUGGGAAAAGCACCUGGAACAAGUCCCAGGUCGUUCCCAGGAAGGGGGGGUGCAUCCCUCCCGAGGCCCCACUCCCUGAUUCAUGAGGCAGGAGCCCAGCGCGUCCAGCACACUU